rnacentral:rRNA from 1 species
AGACCCGAAACCCGGUGAUCUAGCCAUGGGCAGGUUGAAGGUUGGGUAACACUAACUGGAGGACCGAACCGACUAAUGUUGAAAAAUUAGCGGAUGACCUGUGGCUGGGGGUGAAAGGCCAAUCAAACCGGGAGAUAGCUGGUUCUCCCCGAAAGCUAUUUAGGUAGCGCCUCGUGAAUUCAUCUCCGGGGGUAGAGCACUGUUUCGGCUAGGGGGCCAUCCCGGCUUACCAACCCGAUGCAAACUGCGAAUACCGGAGAAUGUUAUCACGGGAGACACACGGCGGGUGCUAACGUCCGUCGUGAAGAGGGAAACAACCCAGACCGCCAGCUAAGGUCCCAAAGUCAUGGUUAAGUGGGAAACGAUGUGGGAAGGCCCAGACAGCCAGGAUGUUGGCUUAGAAGCAGCCAUCAUUUAAAGAAAGCGUAAUAGCUCACUGGUCGAGUCGGCCUGCGCGGAAGAUGUAACGGGGCUAAACCAUGCACCGAAGCUGCGGCAGCGAACGUAUCACCCAAGACAACUUUACGGAGUUGACGAUUGACGGAGCGAAGCGACGUCAAAGCGUUCAUUAAAGUCGAGUUGGCUUAGGGAUACGUUCGUUGGGUAGGGGAGCGUUCUGUAAGCCUGUGAAGGUGUGUCGUGAGGCAUGCUGGAGGUAUCAGAAGUGCGAAUGCUGACAUAAGUAACGAUAAAGCGGGUGAAAAGCCCGCUCGCCGGAAGACCAAGGGUUCCUGUCCAACGUUAAUCGGGGCAGGGUGAGUCGACCCCUAAGGCGAGGCCGAAAGGCGUAGUCGAUGGGAAACGGGUUAAUAUUCCCGUACUUGGUGUUACUGCGAAGGGGGGACGGAGAAGGCUAUGUUGGCCGGGCGACGGUUGUCCCGGUUUAAGCGUGUAGGUGUGUGUUCCAGGUAAAUCCGGUUCACUUUAACACUGAGGCGUGACGACGAGGCACUACGGUGCUGAAGCAACAAAUGCCCUGCUUCCAGGAAAAGCCUCUAAGCAUCAGGUAACAUCAAAUCGUACCCCAAACCGACACAGGUGGUCAGGUAGAGAAUACCAAGGCGCUUGAGAGAACUCGGGUGAAGGAACUAGGCAAAAUGGUGCCGUAACUUCGGGAGAAGGCACGCUGACACGUAGGUGAAGUGAUUUACUCAUGGAGCUGAAGUCAGUCGAAGAUACCAGCUGGCUGCAACUGUUUAUUAAAAACACAGCACUGUGCAAACACGAAAGUGGACGUAUACGGUGUGACGCCUGCCCGGUGCCGGAAGGUUAAUUGAUGGGGUCAGCGCAAGCGAAGCUCCUGAUCGAAGCCCCGGUAAACGGCGGCCGUAACUAUAACGGUCCUAAGGUAGCGAAAUUCCUUGUCGGGUAAGUUCCGACCUGCACGAAUGGCGUAAUGAUGGCCAGGCUGUCUCCACCCGAGACUCAGUGAAAUUGAACUCGCUGUGAAGAUGCAGUGUACCCGCGGCAAGACGGAAAGACCCCGUGAACCUUUAC